AGAGUUUGAUCCUGGCUCAGAUUGAACGCUGGCGGCAUGCCUAACACAUGCAAGUCGAACGAGGGUAGCAAUACCUUAGUGGCGGACGGGUGAGGAAUACAUAGGAAUUUGCCCUUAAGUGGGGGAUAGCCCGGGGAAACCCGGAUUAAUACCGCAUGAACUCGUGAGAGCAAAGUCGGGGACCUUCGGGCCUGGCGCUUUUGGAGAAGCCUAUGUCGGAUUAGCUAGUUGGUGAGGUAAUGGCUCACCAAGGCGACGAUCCGUAACUGGUCUGAGAGGAUGAUCAGUCACACUGGAACUGAGACACGGUCCAGACUCCUACGGGAGGCAGCAGUGGGGAAUAUUGGACAAUGGGCGAAAGCCUGAUCCAGCCAUGCCGCGUGUGUGAAGAAGGUCUUCGGAUUGUAAAGCACUUUAAGUUGGGAGGAAGGGUAGUAACCUAAUACGUUGCUACUUUGACGUUACCGACAGAAUAAGCACCGGCUAACUUCGUGCCAGCAGCCGCGGUAAUACGAAGGGUGCAAGCGUUAAUCGGAAUUACUGGGCGUAAAGCGCGCGUAGGUGGCUCAGCAAGUUGGAUGUGAAAGCCCUGGGCUCAACCUGGGAACUGCAUCCAAAACUACUGAGCUAGAGUACGGUAGAGGGUAGUGGAAUUUCCUGUGUAGCGGUGAAAUGCGUAGAUAUAGGAAGGAACACCAGUGGCGAAGGCGACUACCUGGACUGAUACUGACACUGAGGUGCGAAAGCGUGGGGAGCAAACAGGAUUAGAUACCCUGGUAGUCC
rnacentral:rRNA from 1 species